rnacentral:misc_RNA from 1 species
GACACACAUCUUCUUACCCUUUUAAAAGAGAAAAUAUAUAGUAUAAUUUCAAUUUCAAAACUCUUUAUAUCUAUCUACAUUCACACUUCACCUAACCCAACAUCUCAUCUCUCUUCUUCUCCCUAACUAAAAUGGCAAGUUGGGUUCUAUCAGAAUGUGGUUUAAGACCACUACCAAAAAUAUACCCAAAGCCUACAAUAGGUUUUUCUUCUUCCGUUUCUGUUUCCGCCACCAGUUUGAAUUUGAGAAGAAUUUCACCUUCACCUAUACGAACAGAUCGGAAUUGUUGGGCAUUGAGGGUAAGUGCACCGCUUAGGAUCCAAAUUGCCGGAGAAGAAGAGGAACAAACAACAAACAAUGGGGAUGAGUUUUUUGACCCAGGGGCACCACCCCCUUUUAAGCUUUCUGAUAUUAAGGCAGCUAUUCCUAAGCAUUGUUGGGUCAAAAAUCCAUGGACGUCCAUGAGUUAUGUUGUUAGAGAUGUAGCUAUUGUGUUUGGGCUGGCGGCUGCUGCUGCUUAUUUCAACAAUUGGCUUGUUUGGCCUCUUUAUUGGUUUGCUCAGAGUACAAUGUUUUGGGCUCUCUUUGUUCUAGGUCAUGAUUGUGGACAUGGAAGCUUUUCAAAUAACCAUAGCUUGAAUAGCGUUGCUGGACAUAUUCUUCAUUCUUCGAUUCUUGUUCCUUAUCAUGGAUGGAGAAUAAGCCACAGAACUCAUCAUCAGAACCAUGGACAUGUUGAGAAUGAUGAAUCAUGGCAUCCUUUAUCUGAGAAGCUUUACAAUAGUUUGGAUGAUAUCACAAAGAAAUUUAGGUUCACUCUACCCUUUCCCUUGCUGGCAUAUCCUUUCUAUCUGUGGGGUAGAAGUCCGGGAAAGAAAGGUUCUCACUUUGAUCCAAACAGUGAUUUGUUUGUGGCAAGUGAGAAGAAAGAUGUGAUCACUUCAACUGUCUGCUGGACGGCAAUGGCUGCAUUGCUUGUAGGAUUGUCCUUUGUCAUGGGUCCUCUUCAAAUGCUUAAGCUUUAUGGCAUCCCCUAUUGGGGCUUUGUCAUAUGGCUGGAUUUAGUUACCUAUUUGCAUCACCAUGGCCAUGAAGAUAAAGUUCCUUGGUACAGAGGAGAGGAAUGGAGUUAUCUGAG